CAAGUCGAGUGCGCGUCUGUAGCAAUACAGAUGGCGCACGGCGCACGGGUGCGUAACACGUGGGUAAUCUGCCCUUCGAAGGGGAAUAACUCGCCGAAAGGCGAGCUAAUUCCGCAUAACAUUCCGAGAACCUUGGUUUUUGGAUUCAAAGGCGUAAGUCGUCGGAGGAGGAGCCCGCGCACGAUUAGCUAGUAGGUAGGGUAACGGCCUACCAAGGCUAUGAUCGUUAGCUGGUCUGAGAGGAUGGCCAGCCACACUGGAACUGAGACACGGUCCAGACUCCUACGGGAGGCAGCAGUGGGGAAUCUUGCACAAUGGGCGAAAGCCUGAUGCAGCGACGCCGCGUGGGGGAUGAAGCUUCUCGGAGUGUAAACCCCUUUCGACCCGGACGAAUGCCCCGCAAGGGGACUGACGGUACGGGUAUAAGAAGCCCCGGCUAACUACGUGCCAGCAGCCGCGGUAAGACGUAGGGGGCCAGCGUUGCUCGGAAUUACUGGGUGUAAAGGGUUCGUAGGCGGUGUGGCAAGUCGGGAGUGAAAUCUCUGGGCUCAACCCAGAGUCUGCUUCCGAAACUGCUGUGCUUGAGUGUGGGAGAGGCGCGUGGAAUUGCAGGUGUAGCGGUGAAAUGCGUAGAUAUCUGCAGGAACACCCGUGGCGAAAGCGGCGCGCUGGACCACUACUGACGCUGAGGAACGAAAGCUAGGGGAGCAAACAGGAUUAGAUACCCUGGUAGUCCUAGCCCUAAACGAUCAGGACUUGGGGUGCCACCCGUUCGGGUGUCGUCCCGGAGCUAACGCGUUGAGUCCUGCACCUGGGGAGUACGGUCGCAAGACUGAAACUCAAAAGGAAUUGACGGGGGCCCGCACAAGCGGUGGA
rnacentral:rRNA from 1 species